rnacentral:rRNA from 1 species
UACGUAGGGUCCGAGCGUUGUCCGGAAUUACUGGGCGUAAAGAGCUCGUAGGUGGUUUGUCGCGUUGUCCGUGAAAACUCACAGCUCAACUGUGGGCGUGCGGGCGAUACGGGCAGACUGGAAUACUGCAGGGGAGACUGGAAUUCCUGGUGUAGCGGUGGAAUGCGCAGAUAUCAGGAGGAACACCGGUGGCGAAGGCGGGUCUCUGGGCAGUAACUGACGCUGAGGAGCGAAAGCGUGGGGAGCGAACAGG